GUGACAGGAGCUCAUCAGAGACUGGUCUCCGAGUUGUGGGCGAGGCUGUUUGCGCUGAAGUAAUCCUCCACCAAUAUCCCAUGAUCCUUUGGUUGACACUCUCUCAUUUUUUUAUUUUUUAUUUUUUUGAGAGACUGUAGGACACUCUUUCCUGCUGGCCUACAGUCCCUCACAACCCUUAGCCAGUGAUGCAAAAAAAUGGCGAGGAAAAAGAAGAUGGACCUUUUUGUCAACAAGUGAAUGCAUCUGAUUGGAUACUCAGACAUGCAGUUUUAAUCGUAUUAUUAGAUGUAUAUUUGUCCUCCAUGUUGAGAAAAUGUUACAGAACGUGUCAAAAUGCAACGAUUUUCGUUGGAGUUUGUCUUUAAAGGGUUAACCGGAGCAACUUCCUCUUAACCCGGCGGGCUUUAAGACCCAGGUGACGCGGAAGAGAGAAAAAAAACUCCAUCUCUGCUCUCGCGCUCAUCUUCCAUCCUCCUCCUCCAGACAAGCACCAUGAUAUUACAUCUCAUCCCUCACGCUGUCCUGCUCGGCUGCUGUGUGGUGGUGAGCGCUCUGAUCGAGGACUCCACGCUGACCGAGAGACCCUACGAGGUCCUGCGGAAGCAGAACUUAGUCUCCCUUGGGAGCGUCCUCGCCGUCCUCCUCCUGCUGAUGAUCAUCAUGGUUGUGUGCGUCUACAAGCCGCUGCCCCGCCGCUGACAGACUGCCGCCAUCCCCCCCGGCUUCCUACAGACUAUUUAUCAAAGGAUCAGGCUGGAGGAAUGGGUCAGCCUGUAUAAGAGCCUCUCCAAUACAUGCAAAUAUUUACCUGAUCCCACAGCUCACAAUCUGUCAUUUCAGAAUUACUGCAUGCUUAGUUGAUGUAGGUCAUCUGCAGGAAACAUGUAUGAAACAUCCAUUAAAAGUGAGCCAUAUUUUUGGUUCUUCAAUAAUAUUAUAGUGCGUUACAAAAUAUUAUGCAGACUGUAUUUAAGUGUCAAAAGGAUAAAAUGAUUUGUUCUUUCAAUUACAGUAUAAACUCAUUGAUGAUAUUGUGUCUCGGAGCUCUUUGAAUCACUGAAAUAAUCUCAGACACCUGUGAUAAAUAGUUUACAGGUGAGUUCGAAAAACUAAAGGACACUGCACUUAUACUCCAUACCAGUAGGUGGCGGUAAUGCACCUACUCACUGUGUGCCAUCCCCAAUAAAACUAUACAAGAAGAAUGAGGAAGACGUUUUCAAGCAAUAUGGGAAAGAAAAGGGAUCUAUCCGAUGCUGAAAAGAAUGAAAUAAUUGAAUGCAUUGGACAAGGUAUGAAAACCUUGGAUAUUUCGCGAAAACUUGAGCGGGAUCAUCGCACUAUUAGGAGAUUUGUGGCUGAUUCAGAGCACACACGGGUUCGUGCAGACAAAGGCAAAAUAAGGAAGGUUUCUGCCAAACAAAUAAAUCGGAUUAAGAGAGCAGCUGCUAAAAUCCCAUCACAAAGCAGCAAGCACAUAUUUGAAGCUGCUGGUGUCUCUGGAGUCCCACAAACAUCAAGGUGUAGGAUCCUCCAGAGGCUUGCAGCUCUACGUAAACCUUCUCUUCAGGCUCAGACAUACAUGGAGGCCAAAUUUCAAACUGUCUUGUUCACUGAUGAGUGCCGAGAAACCCUGGAUGGUCCAGAUGAAUGGAAGACCACCAUGUCCCAACAAGGCUGUGACGUCAGUGAGGAGGUGGCAGAAUCAUGUUUUGGGCCAGAAUCAUGGAGAGAAAGCUGAUUGGGCCCUGAAGGUGUGAAAAUGACUUUUGAAAACCUUCCCCUGACCUCAAUCUUAUUAAAAACCUUUAGAGCAUCUUCAAGCAUCUAUGAGGGCGGGAGGCAGGUCACAUCCAAAUAGCAGCUCUGGGAAGAUAUUCUGACACCCUGCAACGAAAUUCAAGCAGAAACUCUCCAAGAAAUUCAAUGAAUCGAGAAGCUGCUACAAAGAGGUCCUAUGUUUAAGCAUGACAUGACCUGUUAAGACGUUUAUGAUCGGAAUAACUUUUGAUUUUAGUAAAUACAAUGAAAACAAAUAACCAUUUUCAGUUCUUUAGAAUCUGUAAAAUUGUUGUGGAACUCUGUUGUGCAUAAUAAUGUGGAAUAGUUAAUUUGAAGGUUUUAUUUUUGGAAAAAAAAUAUGUAUCUUUAAGAUGUUUAUUAGAUAACAUUUGUGACUUGAAAAAUGGAUUGAGUAUUUGGAAAAAUAUAAUUUGGAACGUGCUGUAUUUGUCAUGAAAUGACUUCUAACUCGAGAAAAUGAGGAUCUGUUGAUCUGGUUAGUUAGGAUUAUAAAAGAUCAGAUCUUUACGUGAAUCCAGACAGAUUAGUGAAAAAUGAGAGGAAGGUUUGAAUCCUUUGAACACAGAAAACCACAGAUUUUUGUUUGAGAAAGUUCAUCCUGCUGCUGAAUUUUGAAGCCACACAUGCUCUGAGAGAACCAUGUGGUGAAGGGUGAAUGGAGACCCUCCAAGAUGGUCAUCUAAUGCUCCGGAUAUGACGAGAACAUUUUCAGACAACCAUCAGAUCAAUAACAGUUUAUGUCUUAUCAGAUUUUGCAAAAAAUAUGUGAUUAAAACUGCUGUGUAUUUAUUUAUA